UACGUAGGGUGCGAGCGUUAAUCGGAAUUACUGGGCGUAAAGAGUGUGUAGGCGGUGCUCCAAGUCUGGUGUGAAAUCUCCCGGCUUAACUGGGAGGGUGCAUUAGAAACUGGAAUGCUAGAGGAUGGGAGAGGUAAGCGGAAUUCCUGGUGUAGCGGUGAAAUGCGUAGAUAUCAGGAGGAACACCUGUGGUGUAGACGGCUUUCUGGACCAUAGCUGACGCUGAGACACGAAAGCGUGGGUAGCAAACAGG
rnacentral:rRNA from 1 species